AUUGAACGCUGGCGGCAGGCCUAACACAUGCAAGUCGAACGGUAACAGGAAGAAGCUUGCUUCUUUGCUGACGAGUGGCGGACGGGUGAGUAAUGUCUGGGAAACUGCCUGAUGGAGGGGGAUAACUACUGGAAACGGUAGCUAAUACCGCAUAACGUCGCAAGACCAAAGUGGGGGACCUGCGGGCCCCUCGCCAUCGGAUGUUCCCACAUGAGAUUAGCUUGUAGGUGGGGUAACGCCUCACCUAGGCGACGAUCCCUAGCUGAUCUGAGAGGUUGACCAGCCACACUGGAACUGGGACACGGUCCAGACUCCUGCGGGAGGCAGCAGUAGGAAAUAUUGCACAGUGGGCGCAAACCUGAUGCAGCCAUGCCGCGUAUAUGAAGAAGGCCUUCGGGUUGUAAAGUACUUUCAGCGGGGAGGAAGGGAGUAAAGUUAAUACCUUUGCUCAUUGACGUUACCCGCAGAAGAAGCACCGGCUAACUCCGUG
rnacentral:rRNA from 1 species